rfam:Felis catus isolate Cinnamon breed Abyssinian chromosome A1, whole genome shotgun sequence.
ACCUGGGUGGCUCAGUCAGUUGAGCGUCUGACUUCAGCUCAGGUCAUGAUCUCACAGUUCGUGGGUUCGAGCCCCAUGUCGGGCU